rnacentral:rRNA from 1 species
GUGAGCGGCGGACGGGUUAGUAACGCGUGGGAACGUGCCCUUCUCUAAGGAAUAGCCACUGGAAACGGUGAGUAAUACCUUAUACGCCCUUCGGGGGAAAGAUUUAUCGGAGAAGGAUCGGCCCGCGUUAGAUUAGAUAGUUGGUGGGGUAAUGGCCUACCAAGUCUACGAUCUAUAGCUGGUUUUAGAGGAUGAUCAGCAACACUGGGACUGAGACACGGCCCAGACUCCUACGGGAGGCAGCAGUGGGGAAUCUUAGACAAUGGGCGAAAGCCUGAUCUAGCCAUGCCGCGUGAGUGACGAAGGCCUUAGGGUCGUAAAGCUCUUUCGCCAGGGAUGAUAAUGACAGUACCUGGUAAAGAAACCCCGGCUAACUCCGUGCCAGCAGCCGCGGUAAUACGGAGGGGGUUAGCGUUGUUCGGAAUUACUGGGCGUAAAGCGUACGUAGGCGGAUUGGAAAGUAUGGGGUGAAAUCCCAGGGCUCAACCCUGGAACUGCCUCAUAAACUACCAGUCUAGAGUUCGAGAGAGGUGAGUGGAAUUCCGAGUGUAGAGGUGAAAUUCGUAGAUAUUCGGAGGAACACCAGUGGCGAAGGCGGCUCACUGGCUCGAUACUGACGCUAAGGUACGAAAGUGUGGGGAGCAAACAGGAUUAGAUACCCUGGUAGUCCACACCGUAAACGAUGAAUGCCAGUCGUCGGGUUGCAUGCAAUUCGGUGACACACCUAACGGAUUAAGCAUUCCGCCUGGGGAGUACGGUCGCAAGAUUAAAACUCAA